rnacentral:lncRNA from 1 species
GUAUCUGCACAAGCUUGCAGGCCGUCCGGGUCACUCGUGCCAGACCUAUAACCCAAACGGUGGAUGCUGAUGGAUGAUUAGGAUGGAUGCUGAUGAAGAAAGCUUGGAAGCUAGCAGCUAAUUGGUGGUUCAGACAAAUAUACAGCAAUUCAAUUUGUAGGUUUAAUCGGUUGUAAACUAGAAAUAUUAUUUUUCUCCGGUGAUUUUUUGUUUGCCCGGGUAUUAUUGAUUGCAUUCUUUGUGAUAGGGAUUGAGGUUUUCUUGUUGGAAAGGUCUUUUUCUUGUAGAAUUUUUAGUGUAACCCAACAGCGUAUAGAAAAGAUGUAAAGAGGAUAAGACACAGUGA